AUGAUGCGGGAAAUGAAUCAGAAACUGCUCCCUUCCUGUGUGAAUGAAAAAUGGCCGGCGAUUUUACCAACAACUCGAUUUUGUGUCCAAAUGUUUUGAUGUUAUCUACCAGACAUUGCGAUUGUGAUGUAUUUGUAUCACGCGAAUUGGCGUUUACUUGUACAUAGUAAAAUCAUCGCUGCCGACGCCAUGCACCAUAUUGAUAUUGUAAACAUCAGCUUAUAAAGCGACUAUUUUGACAAUGUAUUGUGAAGCCAUACCUCACCAAUGUCGAACCGGACGCUAACAUUAGAGUGUGCACUUGUUCAAACUAUGGGGAAUGGAGAGAGCACACAUAACUACAGAGGACCAGAUUUUAGAACCCCAGCCAUGUCUAUCCGACUCCCAAUGCCCGACUCACAUGAGCUCGAGCGCAGAUUCACAAAAGUCCUGGCCUCCAUGGACCUGCCACCGGACAAAGCUAAAGUACUCAAGAAUUAUGACGAUGAAAAGAAAUGGGACUUGAUUUGUGACCAGGAAAGAGUCCAUGCGAAGGAUCCGCCCCAUGUCUACCUGGACCGACUGCGGACCUACCUGGACCCGCGUUCCAGUCGUAGUUCUCGGCGCGGAGCGGCCUGUGUAUUCUUACCUGUGGUUGUCCUUCCUCUACAGUGUGGUAUAAUAGAUAGUAAGAGGAAGAUGAUGGGAGACAAUACGUCCACACAGGUACUGCGGGACCUGGAGAUAUCACUGCGCACCAACCACAUCGAAUGGGUGCGAGAGUUUCUCAAUGAAGACAACCAAGGUUUGGAUGUACUGGUAGAUUAUCUGUCCUUCACACAGGUCAUGAUGAGGAGGGAACAGCUGAUGACCAAGGAGAAGAGUGCCAGUCUGGAUGGCCUCUCCAAGAGUCCUGUUCGUCGACUCAAGCGGUCCAACACUAUUGGCUCUCCUCGGGGGAUGUUAAAGUCGUCCAAACUGAACAUGGGUGAGGCUCGCGAUGACGUCCACGUGUGUAUCAUGUGUCUACGCGCCAUCAUGAACCAUCAGUAUGGAUUCAACCUGGUGAUUGCCCAUAAACAUGCCAUCAACUGUAUAGCACUAAGUCUAAAUCACCGAAGUCUCAGGACGAAGGCGCUGGUUUUAGAGCUACUAGCAGCAGUAUGUCUGGUGAGCGGGGGACAUGAGAUCAUAUUGUCAGCAUUUGACAAUUUUAAGGAGGUGUGCGGAGAGAGACACAGAUUUGAAACACUCAUGGAUUAUUUCAGGAAUUUUGAAGAGUUUCACAUUGAUUUUAUGGUGGCUUGUAUGCAGUUUGUAAAUAUUGUGGUUCAUUCGGUCGAGAACAUGAACUUUCGUGUCCACCUGCAGUACGAGUUCACGCAGAUUGGUCUGGAUGACUAUCUCAUGAAACUUCGACACACUGAGAGUGACCGGCUGUCGGUGCAAGUGCAUGCCUACCUGGACAAUAUGAUAGAUGUUCAACAGCUGCUGGAGGAUUCGGAGACCAAGACUGAGGCUCUGGAACGUGCCGAGGAACUAGAGGACGAACUUUCACAUGCACAUGAAAGACUUCAGGAAGUAGAAGAUGAAGCCAUGUCCAAAACAGUGGAACUGGAGAAACAGUUAUCAGAUUCAAAUCAAGAUAUUGAAGAGUUGCGAGAUUAUUUAUCAAAACAGGAGAUAGAAAUGAACUCUUUACGACAAGUUGUUAAUGAAAAGGACGAGGAGUCGAGGAAGAGGCAAAGUAUACUAGAGGCUAAACUCCAGGAAAUUGAGCAAAUUAAACAGACUCUUCCGUCAGGUGUAGGAGCUGCUGCUGCCAGUGCCAGUGUGCCCAUGGCCAAUUUCCCCCCUCCCCCAGCCCCUGCUGCACCCAUGCCNCCAGCACCUCCAGCCCCAGGGCGAGGACCACCAGCUCCCCCACCCCCACCUGGACCUACUUCUGGACCAACUAUGUCAGCAAUGACAAUAAAAAAGAAAAUCCAAACCAAAUACCGUUUGCCAAUCCUCAACUGGACGCCCCUCAAACCUCAGCAAGUCAAAGGCACAGUUUUCGCAGACCUGGAUGAUGAAAAGCUUUACCAUGUGAUAGAUUUUAAUGAGUUUGAGGAGAUGUUCCGCCUGAGUACAGGACCAUUGAGAGGCGACGAUGAUAGCACACCAAAGUUACUCAAGAAACUACGCAAACCUGAGAGCGUCAGUCUGUUAGAACCAAACAGACUACGCAAUGUGGCCAUCACGAGGAGGAAGAUAGAAAUGACGAACGAAGAGGUGAUGAAAUCAAUCAAUAGCCUUGACCUGAAACGACUGUCUCUGGACAUGGUGGACAUCCUACUGACCAUUAUGCCCAAUGACCAAGAGGUCAAAGCAUACAAACAAUACGAGAGAGAUCGCAAACCUAAGGAGCGCCUCACAGACGAGGACAGGUUCAUGUGUAUGUUCUGUAAAGUAGAAAGGCUGUCACAGAAGCUGAACAUCAUGAGUUUCAUUGGUAACUUCCAGGACAGUAUACACCACCUCACACCUCAAGUACAUGCUGUGAUAGCAGCCUCCAUGUCUUUAAGGAAUUCACAGAAAGUCAAGAAAAUGUUGGAGGUGAUUCUGGCGAUUGGUAACUACAUGAAUAGUUCUAAGAGGGGAGCAGUGUACGGCUUCAAACUCCAGAGCCUGGACAUGCUAAUGGAUACAAAGUCAGCGGACAAGAAGACCACACUUGUCCACUACCUGGCUCAAACAGUCAAUGAAAAGUUCAUGGACAUCGUAAACUUUGAAUCAGAGCUGCGCUUCUUGGAGAAAGCUGCUGUUGUAUCACUGGAGAAUAUUCUCACCGACGUGCAUGAUUUGGAAAAGGGGAUGGAAUCUACCAAGCGUGAAUUCGAUGCACGGAAACAUGCCCGAGACCAACCACCUAUUCUAAAAGAUUUCUUACAAAACUCGGAAGAAAAGCUUAAAAAAUUGCAGGGUGAUGUUAAAACCGCUCAGGAUUCAUACAAGAGAGUGGUGGAGUUUUUCGGAGAGAACCCUCGUACGGUGUCCCCACAAACUUUCUUCUCACAGUUUGUAAGAUUUGUCGGUGCUUUCAAGCAAGCAAUGACUGACCUCGAAAAGAAGCGAAGGAUGGAGUCUGCUGCCAUGGAGGAGGUCAUGCCCAGUUCCCAAGGACGCAAGAACAAGAAAGUCACAGCGGAGGCUGUGGUGUCUGAACUGAAGACAAGAAACAAACAGAUCAAGGAGAAGAAGCUGUUGGGCAAGGAUGAGGUUUACCACGGGGCUCUCGAGGACAUCCUACUGGAUCUGAAGAAUGAGCCAUAUCGCCGUGCAGAUGGUGUGAGGAGAAGUCAGCGACGUCGUGUUGAAGAGGCACUAGCACCUACUUACACCCACAACGAACAUUUCUAGUUAUCUUUCGGGCCACAUUCACAUCCAAACAUGAGUAGUUCUCUAGCUAGUACUGAGACAUCCUUGUGUAUGUCAGUUUGUGCAGUGGGUGUUUCCACACUGCUGAACCAACCGCAUGUUAGCCUUGUGGAAACAAACUAUCGCAAUAUGGGAGGCUAACCUAGAAGAUGAAACAGGUUUAAGUAACGUUGAGCGAUUGCCUCACAUGAAGUUUCUGUUUCUAGGCCUACGGUUCACAUUACAGAUAUAUUUGAUGUUGAAAUGCAUCUUAAAAAGUUGCAUUGCCAACAUGGACUCAUAUGUUCACACAUAUAAAUCUCAUUUUACUAUACAUUCACACAUACAAACCUCAUGUGCACAGAAUUAUUCUGACAUUACUUUUAGUCAGGCCAUGAAUGAAUGGCUUCUGAUUGGCUGAUAAGGACUAAUAGAAAAGGAGCUAGCUUCUGGUGGUUGGUUGCUGUCAUAUGAUUGAAAGAACUAACUUCGCUGCUGAUUCAAUGAAAGGAGCUUGCCGCUGAUUGGUUGCUGUUAUAUAUGCAGAUAUGAUGGGAGGGACUAAAUUUUAAUAGUUUUCUUCCAUCUAGAAAUGUCACAGACACUUUAUAUAAUAUAUAGAUAUUUCUAGUCGCCAUUCAUUGAUAAACAGGCUUUUUUUCUGUUGUGUAUCUGUUGUAGAAUUAACAUAUGUGUUGUCCAAUUUUAAAUUGUGAGAAAAUGUUGCAUCCUAUAUUUUUUAAAUGAAUGUUUGAAAAAUCAGGUUUUAUUUUAAUAUCAGAAAUUGAUAUAUUUGCAAGGUUGGCUGUAUUUGGGUUGUGUAGACAACUAGGCUGUACCCAUCACACAAUUGUCAUGUACUGACACACUAAUGUCCAAGUGUAGUCUGCAAUAAGUAUUAGAGUCUAACAAAAUGUCUGUUAAAUCCAGAGUACUUCUGUAUUAGUCAGAAAUUUUGAAACUCUGAUAGCUGUAGAAAGAAAUUCAACUAUGGUUUCUGCAGCUAAACCUUUGCAUGCUGAUAGAAGUGUCCCUAAAAUGGAAAGUCUUUUAAUAGAUCUCAACUAGAGUUAUUUAAUGAUUUUUAUUUACAUUGUAUUGUAAACAAACAACAGUUUGGAAGUAACCUUCAGCUAAAGCUUGUUUGUUUUAUAUUAAACAGUUGUACAAAUUUGAUCAGAAAAUGAAUUUAAAACCAAGAUAAAGCGUUAUUUUGAUAUAAAACCCCAACUUUUCUUUGUAGUGAAACAUAAAGCAAGAAUUCAGACUUCACUAAAAAAAAUAAGUUUUGAGUAAAAGAUAAAUUACAGUUUUCUUUUUCGUAAAUGAAACAAAAAAAACAAUAACAAACCACACAGCCAGAAGAGUAAACAUGAGUCACCUGCAUUUAGAAAAAUAUAUUCUAAUUUAGAUAUUGCAACCUGAUGUUGCACUGUCUUGCUUUAAAUGUAGCGCAUGUGUACUGCAGCUUGCCAUAAGUUAAUGAUCAUUAUUCCGCUAAUUUAUGUUAUAUGUAUUCAUGUUAUCAUUUACACUUUAUUAGUCAUCACAAAGAUUUAUGUCUAUCAAUUAUUGCUUUUCAGCCAUACAAAUACGAACAUUUUAUAACUUAUCUAUGUCUUGCUUGAGGAACAAAUGGCCAGUUGUCAAAAAGUCAUUUGAUAUAUAUCCAUGUAUAUGUAUAAUUGAAACAAUUAUACCAUUUAACAACCCAUUUGGAAGUAUUGGUCGGAGGUGGGAUCUCGGUGGCUUGGCACUUAAAAUUAAAUUAAGAUUAUUUCAGUAAAUACUGGAAUAGUGGAAAUUAUUGUGAUAUUGAAAUGUUCCUCGACUCCCAUUUGAGGAAAAUUUGUGUAAAAAUAGGCACACAUGAGUAUAUAGAUUUAUCGUACAUCUUUAGAAAUAUAUUAAUAAUGUCCAUGGCCUGCUGGAUACCCAACCUACUCGGUAGUGAAGCAGACAUAAAACCAUGUGAUUGGUACAAUGAAAAUAUAUAAACAAACUGGAUGACGUUCUGAAAUUGUGAACUAUUAACUAUGACAUCAUAAUAAAAAUCAGUUGCCUGGCCAUGGAUGAGAUUUAGCGUGAUGGAAAGACCUUCAACUGAGACUUAAAAUAAUAGUAUAUAUGGAUUUCAGAACCACUAACAAUGUGAGAACUUCCGUAUUGCCAUCAGUGUGAAGAGCCGCUACACAAAUAUUUCUACAUGCUAGACUUUCUACUUCUACUGUAUGUGAAGGUGUUGACAUAGGGUGGAUGGGAGAUGUUGUUUUGUAUGGGACACGCUGUGAUAUAUACACAUGAUGACUAUAGAUACAUGUAUUUCAACAUUGAUUUGUAAUUAGAAAGUAGUUUUUUCUUCCUGUUGUCGCAAAACUUAAUAGAAAGUUCAAAUUAACAAGUAAUUUGAACACUUGUUUUAUAUAAAAUCUUCUGCUGACGAGACCAAUGCAUUUGUGUUAACGCCAUGGUUGUUUAACCUUUGACCUGUUGGGUAUGGUGAGGUGCUGUUUUUGACCAGUGACGUGGUUUGUCUGAUGUGUUCAUGUCUAUAAAUACUCUUGUCAUCUAUCAUCCGAGCCUCACCCAUCAACCUCUCGUCUCCUUAGCAGUUAAAGAUACAUAGGUACAUAUAUACAACACACAAUUAAAUACUCCAUUUCUCAUGCUCAGUUUCUCAGAUCUUCUUUGCUUUGAAAUACAAAUUUAAGGUUUUUCCUACUUCAGUAGUUAAGGAACUAAACUUCUCCACAUAUUGUAUGCCGGGAAAUUUUUACCCAGUCAAAUAUUUGCCUUUCAGCAGUGGAAUCCAUCUUAUUCCAGUACUAACUCGGCCCUUCACAUGUUAUUUCUAUAUAUGAUAUCUGCUCUCAUGAUAAAUUUGCCGUCAAUACAGAAAGGCAAAAGUUCAAAUGCAGCAAAUGUUUUCAAGUACACAGUACUUUUCCAUUGUUUAGAAGAACUGAUUUAUAAAUAGGGAGAAGAGCCAAGGCCGUUCCAAUAUUAAGUAGGAUCCUUUUGUUGGGUGUUGGCUGGACUGAAUUUAGUUACAAAGAAUUUAAAAUUCAGAUGUACUGCUGUUUAUAAGGGGAAAUAAGACGUAUUAAUGAUUUGUAAUCUCAUGCCAUUAAAAUAAGUAUUUUUAACUGCGCAAUCUCUCAUAAAUGCUUGCCAAAGAUAACUUAAUUCGUCACAGUAGUAUAUGUUUUUUCCCCAUAAAGUUUUAGACUUCAUUUGUAAAAGUGUAUUUAUUAUUUGCAAUUAUCUGACAUAUUGGAAGAAAGGUCAUAAUAUGUUGUGUUCAAUAGGUGUUGUGGAUCAACCUUGGUGUGUGGUGGCCAGGAUACUUCCCAGUAGAGACAUGGUGGGUGGUGAUAUUAUUGGUGGCAUUUCCCCGUAGUUUAGAGGUGACUGUAAAUAGCACAUUGUUGUACAGUGUCCGCUGUGGUCCAACACUCACUAUCCUACUCAUUCCUGUUAUGUACUUUAAUACGGAGUUAACAUCUCUGUAUUGCAGAUAAUCUUCUAAUGACCUUAAUUAACAUUAGUCGUUUAUUAAAUAGGGACGGACCAGGUAUACUGAUGUUUCUAUAGGGACGCGCCAGGUAAACUGAUGUUUCUAUAGGGACGCACCAGGUAAACUGAUGUUUCUAUAGGGACGCACCAGGUAAACUGAUGUUUCUAUAGGGACGCACCAGGUAAACUGAUGUUUCUAUAGGGACGCACCAGGUAAACUGAUGUUUCUAUAGGGACGCACCAGGUAAACUGAUGUUUCUAUAGGGACGCACCAGGUAAACUGAUGUUUCUAUAGGGACGCACCAGGUAAACUGAUGUUUCUAUAGGGACGCACCAGGUAAACUGAUGUUUCUAUAGGGACGCACCAGGUAAACUGAUGUUUCUAUAGGGACGCACCAGGUAAACUGAUGUUUCUAUAGGGACGCACCAGGUAAACUGAUGUUUCUAGAGAGCCUUGACAAACACUUUCAAGAACUUCAUUAACAUUUGCAGGUAUGUCAGGCUUCGUUGCUGAAAUUGUACAUUUAAAAAAUUGGAGGAACCAGUUUAUCCACAUAAAUGAACAGGUCCCUGAUGCCAAUGACUCAAGAAAAAGGUUGAUAGAAUAUAACUUAGAGCCAAAUAUUGAAAGAACAUUAAUAUAUACAGUAUGUAAUGUAUCAGAGGAGGUGAUGCUAGACAUACACGUCUAUCUUGUAUACCAGUAUAAACUACAAGAAGCUUUACAGUCAUAGUUCACAUUUAAGUCCUAUAAAAUAGGAAGUUUUCAAACAAGAUUAUAGACAAGAACAUUUAUGUUCUAAACAUGAAAACAUAAAUUAAUAUAAAAAAAAAAAUCUUUCACAAAAUGAAACCUUUUCUUCCCAGCUAGUAAUAUCAUUAUUUAUAGCAUAAUAUAUUAUACUGAGGUUUCUUUUCUGAGACCUUUUUGCCCGUGUUUCUUUUAAGAAAUACCAAACCGUUCUUACAAGAACAAUUACCAAAACCAUCCCAACAUAAGUGGUUUGGUUAAAACUUGAUUAGUGCUUGUUUAGUUUUUAACAUUUUAGGGUAAGUCGGGCUAAAGUGAGAUUGAUACGUAAUAGUAUCACAUAGGGUGGGGGGCGUCGGUGUUGUCUUCAGGUCUUAAACUGUCUACGCAAGUUUGUCAAAGUCAAUCAGCAUUUAAAAGUCUUCCAGUUACUAGAUUGUCACUUCAGUAAAUAUUUCAUAUCAUACUUCAUAAAAUCUAAAAGGUCACCAAAUAUAUUUAGCUGCUGUUCCGUUCAAGACGGCCGUUCCCAAUAUCAACUUGUUGUCAUUAAUUGUGUAAGUUUAUAUCGCUGUAAAAUGCUACUAACACAGAUUUUAUUUUACAAAUUACUUUUCAUCAAUAAGGUUGAUAUUAAGUAAGCUUCCGUCAGUGAAGACACUUAUAGUUGUUAUGAAAUUGUUUUAUUAAUAAGAUUUUGGUGCAUUAUUAAUAUUUCUGUAACGUUUUGAACAUGCAUAGAAUACUUACCAUUAUUACUUCAAAUCACCUCUAACCUGUUAUAAGGGGUAAAUUUCUCUCAACACUUGAUAGAAAUACUUACCGCGUCAAGUUGAGUUGAGCCUUUUGGAGAGUAGAUAUCUGAUUUAAGUGGCACACGAACCAGGUAGCAAGAAUUGAUCGGUCUUUAGAAUUUGUUACUAAAGCUAAGUGGAAUCAUGUCUGUGAUGUCAUCAAGGGGGUCAAUGUCAUAAUCAUCAAAACACUAUCAUGUUAUUGAGAUUCAGUGUCUUCAAACAGAUAUUUUGUAAUCAUUAGCUGUAAUCGGAAAAGAAAAAAGACAACUCAUCAAGUUUGUAAAUUCAUUAAAUGUGUGAAUUGAUUUAAAAGUUAAAGAUUUUUGUUGAUAUUUUUACAUGGAUUGAUUGAUGAUGAGAAUCAAAGGUUGAGGAUUCCUGUUGAAAGAUGAGGCAAGUUUGUACUAGCCAUUAUGUAGAACAGGAAACAGGAUUAAUGCAAUGUGUUGUAUGCUUAAGGAGAUGCACAUUGUUACUGGGUAGGACCGGAAUCAAAACCCAAUUGUACAUUAAAGGAAUUUAAUAUUAUUGGUAGAAUUAUGAAAAUUAUUCAGACAUAACGUAAAUUCAUAGUGCUUUUGAUUACACAGUUUUGAUAUUAUCUAGGAGACAGGUUUGUUCUGUGUAUCAAUUUGUAGUAUGAUGAUGCAGCUUCUUCAGCAAGGAAUCCUGUUAUGCAAAGUUCGACUGUUUCGGUCAGAGAAAAGCAAUUAGAAACGUUUUGGACAGUAAAAUAUGAAUACAAUGAUGCUGAAAGUUAGUUCAGGUCAUUAGAAUGUGAUAGUAACCACUAGAAAAACCCCAGUAAAUAUUCCAUACAUAUUUACUAAAACGAAAUAUUUAAGUUUUGUGAUUGCUGAAUUAAAGAAAAUGUAAACUUGAAGGGUGAGGAGUGAAUGGUCUUUGUACUAUUUUGUGAUGCAUGGAAAAAUGCUACUUUUGUGACAUCAAAAUAUGUACAUUUUGAGGCCGUUUUGUGUGUGUGGUUGUGGUAAGGUUCAAGGUGUAGUGACAGCUACCAGAUACAGAAGUAUUGUCUAAUCUGAUAGUAUACAGUGUACAGUUACAAAACAGAUGGUUUUAUAUGUUUAACUAUUUGGAUGCAGAGUUACCGACAUUGUAAAAGGUAUGCUUGCUAUUUUCCACAAAUAAUGUGAUAUAAAUGAUAUCUAGCUUGACAGUUUUAACUCAUUCACCCCUGAAGACAUUUGAACUCUUUCAGUUCAAAGGUUGGAUUAGUUCAUUAUGAAAUUUCAGGGGUGAAUGAGUUAACCACACAAACAAAAUUGUCCAAAGACUGUUCCGACCUGGAACAUUUUAUUGGUCUGUAAAUCUAGAUUUCUCGUUACUCUACAAGGAGAAUGAGAAUCGUAUCCAUACUUCGGCACUUGUAAACAAUUGGCCUCAAAUUACGCAGAUAGGAGUAUUGAUAAGCACUUGGCCCAUGGGCUUAGUUUUCGCUGAUAAUGAAGUUAAUGAACAAAUAUUCAAUUCUAUGUAAUGGUAUCCACUGGUUUGAUAUGUUUGCCAAAAUAAUAUUUAUAUGAAUAUUGAUACAGAGUACUUGUUGCUAAACAGUAAAGCAUUUAGUCAUCAUAUACCUAUUUUUUACAUUCCUUUUCAUAGUAAAGAGAGUAUUAGAUUUUUUUUCUACUUUAUCAGAUUAAAAAAAAAGGCAUCACUUUACCAGCACUGAGAACAGUGCUAAAAUAUAUAUAUGUUGGACCAAUAAUAGGCCACGCUUAGGGAAGUGGUCUAAACAUUGAUCACUGCACCACUUCUCAUUGGGGGCAGCUGACUCGGCAACAGAGUCUGGCUUUUAUUACAAUCCAAGAUGUUUUUUUGUACAGAUUGCAAGACAACACAACAUCCAAUGUAUUUAAAGUAUUCAUACAUUUUACAAUGCAAUUUGUAAAAUAAAAUGAAAUAUCCUAUUA
rnacentral:misc_RNA from 1 species